CCUACGGGUGGCUGCAGUGAGGAAUAUUGGUCAAUGGUCGGGAGACUGAACCAGCCAAGCCGCGUGAGGGAUGAAGGUACAGAGUAUCGUAAACCUCUUUUGUCAGGGAACAAAGGCGGGGACGUGUCCCCGGAUGAGUGUACCUGAAGAAAAAGCAUCGGCUAACUCCGUGCCAGCAGCCGCGGUAAUACGGAGGAUGCGAGCGUUAUCCGGAUUUAUUGGGUGUAAAGGGUGCGCAGGCGGUCUGUUAAGACAGUUGUGAAAGUUUGCGGCUCAACCGUAAAAUUGCAGUUGAAACUGGCAGGCAUGAGGACAGUAGAGGUGGGCGGAAUUCGUGGUGUAGCGGUGAAAUGCUUAGAUAUCACGAAGAACUCUGAUGGCGAAGGGAGCUCACUGGACUGCCACUGACACUGAGGCUCGAAAGUGUGGGUAUCAAACAGGAUUAGAUACCCUUGUAGUC
rnacentral:rRNA from 1 species